UGGGGGAUAUUGCACAAUGGGCGAAAGCCUGAUGCAGCGACGCCGCGUGGGGGAUGAAGGCUUUCGGGUUGUAAACCUCUUUCGCUAUCGAACAAGGCUCGCUUAGGGUGGGGUGAGGGUAGGUGGUGAAGCAGCGCCGGCUAACUACGUGCCAGCAGCCGCGGUAGUACGUAGGGCGCGAGCGUUGUCUGGAAUUAUUGGGCGUAAAGGGCUUGUAGGCGGCUUGUUGCGCCUGCUGUGAAAACGCGGGGCUUAACUUCGCGCGUGCAGUGGGUACGGACAGGCUUGAGUGUGGUAGGGGUGACUCGAAUUCCAGGUGUAGCGGUGGAAUGCGCAGAUAUCUGGAAGGACACCGAAGGCGAAGAGAGGUCACUGGGCCAUUACUGACGCUGAGGAGCGAAAGCAUAGGUAGCGAACAGG
rnacentral:rRNA from 1 species